rnacentral:rRNA from 1 species
GACGAACGCUGGCGGCGUGCUUAACACAUGCAAGUCGAACGGUAAGGCCCUUCGGGGUACACGAGUGGCGAACGGGUGAGUAACACGUGGGUGAUCUGCCCUGCACUUCGGGAUAAGCCUGGGAAACUGGGUCUAAUACCGGAUAGGACCACUGCCUGCAUGGGUGGUGGUGGAAAGCUUUUGCGGUGUGGGAUGGGCCCGCGGCCUAUCAGCUUGUUGGUGGGGUGAUGGCCUACCAAGGCGACGACGGGUAGCCGGCCCGGGAGGGUGACCGGCCACACUGGGACUGGGAUACGGCCCAGACUCCUACGGGAGGCAGCAGUGGGGAAUAUUGCACAAUGGGCGCAAGCCUGAUGCAGCGACGCCGCGUGAGGGAUGACGGCCUUCGGGUUGUAAACCUCUUUCAGCACCGACGAAGCGCAAGUGACGGUAGGCGCAGAAGAAGGACCGGCCAACUACGUGCCAGCCGCCGCCGUAA